CCCCAGAUGAAUGUUCUUAAGGGUUUUCAAAAUUAAAGCUAUUCAGAUCUCACAAUCUGAGUGGAUUCUAUUUUAAUGAUGGCGUAGCUAGAUGGUGGGUGACUUUUAAGGGAAAAUAACAUUUCUGUGUACUUGAAUAUUUUCUUAAUUUUUCAGGACUGACAUAAUUGUUUCAUCCUGUUUUUCCUUUCAGUGAAAGCACGGACAGCUCAAUUAGCCAAGAUAAAAUGGGUUGUAAGUGUUGCUUUCUACAUAUUGCAAGCUGCCCUGAUGAUCUCGCUCAUUUGGAAGUACUAUUCUGUCCCUGUGGCUGUUGUGCCGAGUAAGUGGAUAACCCCACUAGACCGCCUGGUAGCCUUUCCUACUAGAGUAGCAGGUGGUGUUGGAAUUACCUGUUGGAUUUUAGUCUGUAACAAAGUUGUGGCUAUCGUGCUUCACCCUUUCAGCUGAAAAGGGAGAUGAAACAGCUGCGAGCCUUUUAAAAAUGGAUUUUCUCUUAGGUUAAAAAUGUGAUUUACACUGUUUUGUUUUUAAGAAACAAAAAUGCACAGGUUAGGUUU